UGGAACUGAACCAGAUCCCUUCUAGUUUGAGUUUUCUUUAAGAGAAAGUCAAGUGAAGGCGGUGGGAGGCAGGGGGAAGGUCAGGAAUGUGACCACUGCCGAUGCUGAUCCCAGAAUGACCGGAGUUCUGUGUGGACCAAAAUUAGGACACACUCAGGAAGCCUGCCCCUGCUGAGCACUUCUCUGCUUCUUUGCUGAGGGAAGCCAUGCAAGCUCCCGAGGUCCCAUUUUCUUCUCUAAGGAGAGGAUUAAUCUGUGCUCUUUGCUCCUUCCUCUUCUGUAGCUAAAUUAAAAUGCACGCGUGACUAACAGCAGCGCUGGGGUGGUCUGUGUGGAGUGCUGCCUGUUGGGCUGUGAGCAAUUUGCCAAAGAAGUCUUCAUCCUGGUAAUUUGAGCCAGAUGCUUCAGUGCAGACCCCGCUGACUCAUCAACACCCCUGCCUUCCUGAGGACUGAGCUGGGGGUCAGCUCUCUGCUCAUGCCAUCUGCCUUUUUAGAAGCACCCUGCUGGGGGGUUGCAGGGGAGUGGGGGCAGGAAGAAACACUUAGGGAGACUACGUGGUGUGGGGAGAUCUGAAGGAUGGGGAGUUAUUCUAGCUGGCAUGGAGAGUUAUCCGAAGGAGGAAUUGUCCUCCCACAGCUUCUUGUGGGCUUUCUAGAUAAAGGAAGCUCACCUGGCCAGUCUACUUCCCGUGCAUGAGAAGGUUAAACAAAGACUUCUAGUCUCCCGGAUGGAGAGGUAGGUGGAGGUAUAGUGCUGGGAAGUUCUUGCCUUUGAAACCAUGCCCCUUGUGGACCCGGGAAGAGAAUACAUUCCCUCAUACCCACCACGUAGAACCUAUUCUCCAGUUAGGAACCAAGUCAAGGCAAAGGCACACAGAGUGAAAGUCAGGGUGUGAGCAAACCAAACACCAGCCAGCAGAG
ensembl:lncRNA